CAGCCGCCGCGGUAAUACGUAGGGUGCAAGCGUUAAUCGGAAUUACUGGGCGUAAAGCGUGCGCAGGCGGUUUGUUAAGACAGAUGUGAAAUCCCCGGGCUUAACCUGGGAACUGCAUUUGUGACUGGCAAGCUAGAGUAUGGCAGAGGGGGGUGGAAUUCCGCGUGUAGCAGUGAAAUGCGUAGAUAUGCGGAGGAACACCGAUGGCGAAGGCAGCCCCCUGGGCCAAUACUGACGCUCAUGCACGAAAGCGGGGGGAGCAAACAGGAUUAGAUACCCGCGUAGUCCCUGUCUCUUAUAC
rnacentral:rRNA from 1 species